rnacentral:rRNA from 1 species
GACGAACGCUGGCGGCGUGCUUAACACAUGCAAGUCGAACGGAAAGGCCCUGCUUUUGUGGGGUGCUCGAGUGGCGAACGGGUGAGUAACACGUGAGUAACCUGCCCCUGACUUUGGGAUAACUUCAGGAAACUGGGGCUAAUACCGGAUAGGAGCUCCUGCUGCAUGGUGGGGGUUGGAAAGUUUCGGCGGUUGGGGAUGGACUCGCGGCUUAUCAGCUUGUUGGUGGGGUAGUGGCUUACCAAGGCUUUGACGGGUAGCCGGCCUGAGAGGGUGACCGGCCACAUUGGGACUGAGGUACGGCGCAGACGCCUACGGGAGGCAGCAGUGGGGAAUAUUGCACAAUGGGCGGAAGCCUGAUGCAGCAACGCCGCGUGCGGAAUGACGGCCUUCGGGUUGUAAACCGCUUUCGCCUGUGACGAAGCGUGAGUGACGGUAAUGGGUAAAGAAGCACCGGCUAACUACGUG